rnacentral:rRNA from 1 species
GACGAACGCUGGCGGCGUGCUUAACACAUGCAAGUCGAACGGAAAGGCCCUGCUUUUGUGGGGUGCUCGAGUGGCGAACGGGUGAGUAACACGUGAGUACCUGCCCUUGACUUUGGGAUAACUUCAGGAAACUGGGGCUAAUACCGGAGAGGAGCUCCUGCUGCAUGGUGGGGGUUGGAAAGUUUCGGCGGUUGGGGAUGGACUCGCGGCUUAUCAGCUUGUUGGGGGGGUAGUGGCUUACCAAGGCUUUGACGGGUAGCCGGCCUGGGAGGGUGACCGGCCACAUUGGGACUGGGAUACGGCCCAGACGCCUACGGGAGGCAGCAGUGGGGAAUAUUGCACAAUGGGCGGAGGCCGGAUGCAGCAACGCCGCGUGCGGGAUGACGGCCUUCGGGUUGUAAACCGCUUUCGCCUGUGACGAAGCGUGAGUGACGGUAAUGGGUAAAGAAGCACCGGCUAACUACGU